rnacentral:rRNA from 1 species
GACGAACCGUACGAACGUUAUUCGGAAUCACUGGGCUUAAAGGGUGCGUAGGCUGCGCAGCAGGUUGGGUGUGAAAUCCCUCGGCUUAACCGAGGAACUGCGCCCAAAACUGCUGUGCUCGAGGGAGAUAGAGGUGAGCGGAACUUAGGGUGGAGCGGUGAAAUGCGUUGAUAUCCUAAGGAACACCGGUGGCGAAAGCGGCUCACUGGAUCUCUUCUGACGCUGAGGCACGAAAGCUAGGGUAGCGAACGGG